CUAACUUCAUUCUCCCUCAACGUUCAUACCAUUUUCCUCAUCCGAAAAGCUGCUGCCGGUCGUCGCUAUUGCAAGCGCCAUCUCCGUAUUGAACCACCAAUGCCCUCUGUCGUGAUCCACUCCCGUCCAGUCCAUUGGCUUACUUGGAUUUUCUUGGUCAAGAUCUGUAAAUUGGCUUUUUUUCAUCCUUUUGAAGAAGAGAAUAAUGAUGGAGUUCUUGAGAUCUUGUUAUUAAAAAUUAUGUUUUGGGGUUAUAUCUCAAGAAAGUAU
rnacentral:lncRNA from 1 species